rnacentral:rRNA from 1 species
UACGAAGGGGGCUAGCGUUGCUCGGAAUCACUGGGCGUAAAGGGUGCGUAGGCGGGUCUUUAAGUCAGAGGUGAAAUCCUGGAGCUCAACUCCAGAACUGCCUUUGAUACUGAAAGUCUUGAGUAUGGGAGAGGUGAGUGGAACUGCGAGUGUAGAGGUGAAAUUCGUAGAUAUUCGCAAGAACACCAGUGGCGAAGGCGGCUCACUGGCCCAUUACUGACGCUGAGGCACGGAAAGCGUGGGGAGCAACAGG